rnacentral:rRNA from 1 species
GACGAACGCUGGCGGCGUGCUUAACACAUGCAAGUCGAACGGAAAGGCCCUGCUUUCUGGGUGCUCGCGUGGCGAACGGGUGAGUAACACGCGGGUGAUCUGCCCCCUACUUUGGGAUAAGCCUGGGAAACUGGGUCUAAUACUGGAUAGGACCAUGCUGUAGGCGGUGUGGUGGAAAGAUUAGUUUCGGUAAGGGAUGAGCUCGCGGCCUAUCAGCUUGUUGGUGGGGUGAUGGCCUACCAAGGCGUCGACGGGUAGCCGGCCUGAGAGGGUGGUCGGCCACAUUGGGACUGAGAAGCGACGCAGAAUCCUACGGGAGGCAGCAGUGGGGAAGAUUGCACAAUAGGCGCAAGCCUGAUGCGGCGACGCCGCGUGGGGGGUGACGGCCUUCGGGUUGUAAACUCCUUUCAGCCAUGACGAAGCGCUUGUGGUGACGGUAGUGGUAGAAGAAGCACCGGCUAACUACGUG